rnacentral:tRNA from 1 species
GCAUUGGUGGUUCAGUGGUAGAAUGCUCGCCUGCCACGCGCGCAGCCCGGGUGCGAUUCCGGGCCAAUGCA